rnacentral:rRNA from 1 species
CAGCAGCCGCGGUAAUACGUAGGGUGCGAGCGUUAAUCGGAAUUACUGGGCGUAAAGCGUGCGCAGGCGGUUUUGUAAGACAGGCGUGGAAUCCCCGGGCUCAACCUGGGAAUGGCGCUUGUGACUGCAAAGCUAGAGUGCGGCAGAGGGGGAUGGAAUUCCGCGUGUAGCAGUGAAAUGCGUAGAUAUGCGGAGGAACACCGAUGGCGAAGGCAAUCCCCUGGGCCUGCACUGACGCUCAUGCACGAAAGCGUGGGGAGCAAACAGGAUUAGAUACCCCCGUAGUCCCUGUCUCUUAUAC